AUUGAACGCUGGCGGCAGGCUUAACACAUGCAAGUCGAGCGGGGUGAUGGUGCUUGCACUAUCACUUAGCGGCGGACGGGUGAGUAAUGCUUAGGAAUCUGCCUAUUAGUGGGGGACAACAUCUCGAAAGGGAUGCUAAUACCGCAUACGUCCUACGGGAGAAAGCAGGGGAUCACUUGUGACCUUGCGCUAAUAGAUGAGCCAAGUCGGAUUAGCUAGUUGGUGGGGUAAAGGCCUACCAAGGCGACGAUCUGUAGCGGGUCUGAGAGGAUGAUCCGCCACACUGGGACUGGGACACGGCCCAGAUGCCUACGGGAGGCAGCAGUGGGGAAUAUUGGACAAUGGGGGGAACCCUGAUCCAGCCAUGCCGCGUGUGUGAAGAAGGCCUUAUGGUUGUAAAGCACUUUAAGCGAGGAGGAGGCUCUUUUGGUUAAUACCCAAGAUGAGUGGACGUUACUCGCAGAAUAAGCACCGGCUAACUCUGUGCCAGCAGCCGCCGUAA
rnacentral:rRNA from 1 species